rnacentral:rRNA from 1 species
UGACUUAGUGUAUCAAGCAAGCUUAAGCCGUUAGGUGUAGGCGCAGCGAAAGCGAGUCUGAAUAGGGCGACCAUAGUUUGAUGCAUUAGACCCGAAACCCGGCGAUCUAUGCAUGACCAGGUUGAAGGUGCGGUAACACGCACUGGAGGACCGAACCGUUCAAUGUUGAAAAAUUGUCGGAUGAGUUGUGCUUAGGGGUGAAAGGCCAAUCAAGCCGGGAAAUAGCUGGUUCUCCGCGAAAUCUAUUUAGGUAGAGCGUCACGAUUAGACUCUGGGGGGUAGAGCACUGAAUGGGCUAGGGGUCCUCACCGGAUUACCAAACCUUCUCAAACUCCGAAUACCCAGAAGUUAUGCGUGGCAGACACACGGCGGGUGCUAACGUCCGUCGUGAAAAGGGAAACAACCCAGACCGCCAAUUAAGGCCCCUAAGUAAUAGCUAAGUGCGAAACGAUGUGGAGGUGCUGAGACAAUCAGGAGGUUGGCUUAGAAGCAGCCAUCCUUUA